UACAAGUAUUUUCAGUCAUCUUGAGUAUGAGCUAGGAAUGGAGUAGCUGAGUCCGACAGUAACUCUUCAUAUCUCCAUUUGGGGACAACUGCUUGAACACUACAGUGGCUGCACCAUUUCACACUCUCACCAUCAAUGGGUUUCAUUUUAGAAUUCAUGAGGUGCAAAACUAAAUGAGAGGUGUGGAGGCUCAUUUUCUGUCAUGGUCAUUGGAUGUUUAGAGCAUCAUUUGCUGUGUUUGUCGUCUGCCCAGGAUGUUCCCACCACCAGGGAAAUACAGAAGACUUUCCAGGUCAUCAGUUUUAGUUGGCCUACGGUUGUCUGGGCUGCUUGAGAUCCCCAGCCCGCUGUGCUGUGCCAGGUGCGAGGCUGCCCUGUCCUGGACCUGGGAGACAAGCAGAG